rnacentral:rRNA from 1 species
UACGAAGGGUGCAAGCGUUACUCGGAAUUACUGGGCGUAAAGCGUGCGUAGGUGGUGAGUUAAGUCUGUCGUGAAAGCCCCGGGCUCAACCUGGGAAUGGCGAUGGAUACUGGCUCGCUAGAGUGCGGUAGAGGAGACUGGAAUUCCUGGUGUAGCGGUGAAAUGCGCAGAUAUCAGGAGGAACACCGGUGGCGAAGGCGGGACUCUGGGCCGAUACUGACGCUGAGGAGCGAAAGCGUGGGGAGCGAACAGG